rnacentral:lncRNA from 1 species
ACCAAAGGGCUUACUGGAUGAAGCUAACCAGAUAGAGUGAGACCAGAGAGAAGAAGUGGCCCAGGAAGUCAUAACCUCCUGUUCCUGACUUGGACUUUCUGUAAGUGUGAUUCCCAACCUGGUUACUCAUCAGAAUCAUACAAGGAACAUUAGAAAAGCCUUUGUCCUAUGUCUGGAGACUUCUUGGAAGCUGGAGCACACAAAUAGCUACAGCAAACUUGAGGAAUGGGCAUGAAUAGACUGGCUUCGGGGAACCUGCCAGCUUGGCCGUGUGGCCAAGGUAAUAGGCAAGCCAAGGCAGAGCUAGAGCUCAGAGCUGGAGGGGAAAUUAAAGCAGCAAAUGUAGAAACAUUAAGCCUGAAGAGGCGACGACGUUGAAUUCUAAAAUGCAGGCCAAAGCUCAGACUGCAAGCUGUCUGGCUGCUCCGGGUGUGCCCAGAAGUCAAAGUCCAGCAGGGGCAAAGGUGGAGGUGUGGUCCUGCACGUGGGGUGUUGGGGGGAUGUGGAAGAGGAGGUGCUUUAAGAUCCAGAGAUUCCAGCUGCCCUGGUGCACCCUUGGAAGAAUAAAAGGCUAGGAACUGGACAAGUCAGGCUCGAGUCCAAGCUGCCUGAGGAAUCGGGGAAAGAAUGGAGCUCAGAGUGGGAGGUCAGGGCAGUAUUUAAAAAUCCAGGAUAGCAGCAAAGCUGGCGGUGGCCCCUGACUCUGGUAAGGGCAGCCUGCAGCACCAUGCCAAGGGGGGCCUGACUGAUCAUGCCCUGCAUUUGCAAACAAGGAUUAGUAGGGUAUGAGUAGGAUUCUGCUGGUGCCUGGGAAGGCAGUGCCAUCUACAACUUUACAAAGUUUUAACAAAGGCCUGAAGGACACAACCUUCCCCAAAGUCCUGACGUCGCUGUUUGCUGGCAACAAAUAGAGUCAAAAGAAGAGAGGCACAGAAUGUGCCAGGGGUGUGCUGCGUACAGCCCCGAUGACCACAAGGCCUUCUUGGGUCAAGUUCUGCCAUCUCUGGUUAAGAUGGGCUCACCCUCUAGGACCCUGAUUGAGUCCUCGGACCACCAAGAGUGCCCCACCAAGAGCCUCCCUCUUCUGGUGACUCGUGCCUGCUUCCCGUGGAGAGCUCCAGAAGGGAGGAAACUGUGAGGAGGUGGAGAACGUGGCAGGGAUCCUAACUUUCUUACUGAAGGAAGUUCUUCACAAGUACCCAUCUGCCUUCAGGGAAGAAAACAUAACUCAUUUUGGUCUUUCAAAUUCAGUUCUCAAAACCAAAUCCUGUUGUCAGCAAUCUGUGUCCCAACGCCUUCUUCAGCAACAGCAUUUUCCCUGUGGAAUUAGUUUCCAAUGUUCUUUCUUAAAUAAACCACUGAAGAUUAAAAGGAAUCCAGAUACCCACCACAUUUUGUUUCCUUAAUGAGUAAUUAUCACAUUUCUUUGGCUACUUAAAUGCAUUCUCUGAGUCAGGUAAAGGAGAUCGUAAUAGUUAAUCAACAAGAAGUAAUUCUUGGGUACUUAACAAUAGUCUAAGCACUUAAUCAUACUUAAAAUUGACUAUUAAUGAACCUUAUAAACCAUUUUGCAAUUCUGAAAGUGAAUUUCUCUGCAGGCUUAGAGAUUACUAAGCCAUUUAGAUCUUACCAAACAAAUAUUAUUCAUGCUUUAAUUCCUGGGAAAAGAAAUUUAGAAAAUGAGGUUAAUGUUCAGUUGUCCUUUCCUGAGUUUAACAAUUAUAUAUUCCAUCUGGGAUGCUCUGAACUCAGGUUAAACAUUCUUCAAGUUAUUCCCACAUUUUUCAAGUUAUUCCCACGUUAGUGACCUACUUUAUUAGUAUUAUUACUAAAGAAAAGGGCUGGGUGCGGUGGCCCACAUCUGUAAUCCCAGCACUUUGGGAGGCUGAAGCAGGAGGAUCACUUGAGCUUGGGAGUUCAAGACCAGCCUGAGAGGGAGACUCCGUCUCUACAAAAAAAAAAAAAUUAGCCAGGUAUG